CCACACGACUCUCGGCAACGGAUAUCUCGGCUCUCGCAUCGAUGAAGAACGUAGCGAAAUGCGAUACCUGGUGUGAAUUGCAGAAUCCCGCGAACCAUCGAGUCUUUGAACGCAAGUUGCGCCCGAGGCCACUCGGUCGAGGGCACGCCUGCCUGGGCGUCACG
rnacentral:rRNA from 1 species